CCUUGGUUAGUUCUGUUAUGUCCUGAUGGAGAGGGUGGGUUUGUUUCAGGUGGGGACCUUGGUUAGUUCUGUUAUGUCCUGAUGGAGAGGGUGGGAUUGUUUCAGGUGGGGGCCUUGGUUAGUUCUGUUAUGUCCUGAUGGAGAGGGUGGGUUUGUUUCAGGUGGGGGCCUUGGUUAGUUCUGUUAUGUCCUGAUGGAGAGGGUGGGAUUGUUUCAGGUGGGGACCUUGGUUAGUUCUGUUAUGUCCUGAUGGAGAGGGUGGGAUUGUUUCAGGUGGGGGCCUUGGUUAGUUCUGUUAUGUCCUGAUGGAGAGGGUGGGAUUGUUUCAGGUGGGGACCUUGGUUAGUUCUGUUAUGUCCUGAUGGAGAGGGUGGGAUUGUUUCAGGUGGGGGCCUUGGUUAGUUCUGUUAUGUCCUGAUGGAGAGGGUGGGAUUGUUUCAGGUGGGGGCCUUGGUUAGUUCUGUUAUGUCCUGAUGGAGAGGGUGGGAUUGUUUCAGGUGGGGGCCUUGGUUAGUUCUGUUAUGUCCUGAUGGAGAGGGUGGGAUUGUUUCAGGUGGGGACCUUGGUUAGUUCUGUUAUGUCCUGAUGGAGAGGGUGGGAUUGUUUCAGAUGGGGACCUUGGUUAGUUCUGUUAUGUACUGAUGGAGAGGGUGGGUUUGUUUCAGGUGGGGACCUUGGUUAGUUCUGUUAUGUCCUGAUGGAGAGGGUGGGAUUGUUUCAGGUGGGGACCUUGGUUAGUUCUGUUAUGUCCUGAUGGAGAGGGUGGGUUUGUUUCAGGUGGGGACCUUGGUUAGUUCUGUUAUGUCCUGAUGGAGAGGGUGGGAUUGUUUCAGGUGGGGGCCUUGGUUAGUUCUGUUAUGUCCUGAUGGAGAGGGUGGGAUUGUUUCAGGUGGGGGCCUUGGUUAGUUCUGUUAUGUCCUGAUGGAGAGGGUGGGUUUGUUUCAGAUUGGGACCUUGGUUAGUUCUGUUAUGUCCUGAUGGAGAGGGUGGGUUUGUUUCAGGUGGGGACCUUGGUUAGUUCUGUUAUGUCCUGAUGGAGAGGGUGGGUUUGUUUCAGGUGGGGGCCUUGGUUAGUUCUGUUAUGUCCUGAUGGAGAGGGUGGGUUUGUUUCAGAUUGGGACCUUGGUUAGUUCUGUUAUGUCCUGAUGGAGAGGGUGGGAUUGUUUCAGGUGGGGGCCUUGGUUAGUUCUGUUAUGUCCUGAUGGAGAGGGUGGGAUUGUUUCAGGUGGGGACCUUGGUUAGUUCUGUUAUGUCCUGAUGGAGAGGGUGGGAUUGUUUCAGGUGGGGACCUUGGUUAGUUCUGUUAUGUCCUGAUGGAGAGGGUGGGAUUGUUUCAGGUGGGGACCUUGGUUAGUUCUGUUAUGUCCUGAUGGAGAGGGUGGGAUUGUUUCAGGUGGGGACCUUGGUUAGUUCUGUUAUGUCCUGAUGGAGAGGGUGGGAUUGUUUCAGGUGGGGACCUUGGUUAGUUCUGUUAUGUCCUGAUGGAGAGGGUGGGAUUGUUUCAGGUGGGGACCUUGGUUAGUUCUGUUAUGUCCUGAUGGAGAGGGUGGGAUUGUUUCAGGUGGGGACCUUGGUUAGUUCUGUUAUGUCCUGAUGGAGAGGGUGGGAUUGUUUCAGGUGGGGACCUUGGUUAGUUCUGUUAUGUCCUGAUGGAGAGGGUGGGAUUGUUUCAGGUGGGGACCUUGGUUAGUUCUGUUAUGUCCUGAUGGAGAGGGUGGGAUUGUUUCAGGUGGGGACCUUGGUUAGUUCUGUUAUGUCCUGAUGGAGAGGGUGGGAUUGUUUCAGGUGGGGACCUUGGUUAGUUCUGUUAUGUCCUGAUGGAGAGGGUGGGAUUGUUUCAGAUGGGGACCUUGGUUAGUUCUGUUAUGUCCUGAUGGAGACAAAUACCUCCCAUUUAAUCUUUAUGACUCCAUGUUAAAGCAGAUUGUGUAUGAAAGAUGUAUUUUAUGCAUUAUGUUGCCAUUAAAUGGGAUCAAGCCCCGUUUUUAUGGA